UAUUACAACUAUUACACAACACCGGGUUAGCUGGACAUAUUCCAUCGCAUCAUUCACAUUCGGUUGCUUUGAGAGACUGACAGGCCUCUGUACUGGUCACCCGAGGACAGCUAGAUAACAGCUCGAAAUACAGUAAGCAUAUGGAAAUAUACUUAUGAUAUGGAGCUGCAGUAGGGAACUUUUGACGCUCUAGCGGUUAAUAAACAGAACUGCUUGCGUCUUGUGGAAGAACAUCGUAGCUGGAGCUACUUCUCUCUGUUUAUGUCUAUGAAGAAUCACAAAGGUACUGGGUUACUCCGCCGCGGUAUCCCCGAAGCAAUCUAAAAUAGUCCGAAUAUAAACGAGAAGGGUAUUCCUGCACAACCGGAGGCUGCAGUUACAGGACCGCAAUUCUGUGACCGCAGCUUUAGGACCCUAGUAUUUUUGUGACAGCGCCACCUACUGUACUGAAUCAACACUAAUUAAAGAUGGACGACGUGGACAGCAACCAGACGACAGAUGAACACUUCUUGAACCAUCCCAGACAGUGACUGUGGGAAACACGCUGUAUCAAGGUGGGGCCGACGGAGCAGAGGACCACAAGGGUGGAGCUAAAGACCACCAUAGCAGAGCAGAUGGGAACAAAGAUCCUCACGGCAGAGCAGAUGACCACCACAGUAGAGCAGAUGGGACGAAGAUCCCCAUAGUGAAGCCGAAGGAACAGAGGACCACUUCAGUGGACCUGAUGGUGCUGGGACAACCAAGGCAGAUCAGGCAGACUGGAACAGAGAGAACAGAGAGGUUAACAAUGGCCUCUGUGGCCGUAACAGGACAGGCAGAGGGUGCACAGACAGCCUCUUAGGCCACGGAUGGACAGGCAAAGAGCUCAAAGCCUGGCUGAGAGUUCAGAGACGGACUCCUUGGCCAGAUUGGAAGCUAGCCUGAAACCCCUGGCGAAAUGCCUGGGUGUCUUCAAGCGGUACGUUUACAAUGACGGGGAACACUGGAGUGGCAUCUGUGAUGGCUGAAGACUGCUGGCUCAUCAUGUUCCUCCUCAAAAACACCCACAGUAAAUGCAGAGCCACUCAGUUGGAGUGCCAGAUCGAUAUAAGAGUCCAGAAUACAGUUUGUAUUGUGCAGUGGCAUAAUCGAUUGCAGCGGCUCAACUAGGCCUCCUCAGAAAAAUAUCAUGAGGCAUAUCUCAUCCACAGUUAAAUGGACCAGUUCAAAAAAUAAUCACAUAAUAAGCACAUACUCAAUAGACCGCUCACCUUGACAGAGACUAAUUAUUUUUUUCUGCUGGAUUCAUGGCUGGCCUGGAUGCACGCAUAAAGCUGCUGGAUCUGAGCAUUCUGUAACAUAAGGAAGCAUGACAACACAGAAGUGGAUCCAAAUGCAGGCCUUACUCAAAAGAGUGGCAGAGUAAUCCACAGAACAGGCAAAGGUCAGGUCAGGCAGCAAACAAGGUAAGCAGUCCAGGGUCAAAGAACAGUAAGGCAAGAAAACAAGGAACUAGGAAACACAGGAACACUACAGGCUAGCAAUAGUCAGCAGUGUGAGUGUGUGUAUGUGCAUCUUUUAUAGUGUCACUGAUGGGAACAGGUGUGAGUGUGAUAAUGAGUUCCUAGGCAGUGGUUAUGGGAAAUGUAGUCCGGGGUAGAGUGGCAAGAGUCACGGGUGGAGUGCCCUUUGGAGGAGUCAGGGGCAUUCCAGCAGGAGAUUGUGACACCUUUAUUAUUAAUUAUACAUUCAUUAUUUUAUUACAACAUUUCUGUUUAUUAAAAAGUGUUUACUGUCACCUUUGGUUAGUUUAAUGCAUCCUUGUAUAAAAGUAUGCGUUUAUUUCCCAAUUUGGCAACGUUUGCAAAAUAUAAAGUUGGAAGUGUUUCUUUUUACAAAGUCCCAGUUAUCAGAAAUAGUUUUAAAAUGUAGAGAUUUGAAGUCAAAAGGAAUUUUACCAGUUUUGAUUUAUUAUUAUAUUUUUUUUAUUAGUUAAUGUGGCUGUAGAUGUAUGUGCAGAUGAGGAGAAGAUUCUGAUCACAGUUUGUUCUCUGUCUGUAACCAUAGCUUCCACUCAUAGGCACUGCAGCCAAAACAAGUUAACACAAGUUUUGACUCUUAAGUCUUUCAACUCUCAGCCUCUGAAUCAUUUCAUAAAUUUGAACACUUGAAGGCAGUUGUAGUCAGAUGUUUAUCUUUUGGUGUAUUUGGGUUUGCCAGAUAUAAUAGUUUUGCCAUGUUAUGCCUUCAGUUAUGCAACCUUGAACGAAAUGCCUUUUGUUAGCAAUCUAUUUUAGUUGGCCCUACAGGAAAGCCCUGAUAUUUAAUGUUACAAUGAUAUCUUAAACAGAUAAACAUUGUAAUAAAAUUUGUCAAAUUAAACAAAUUCAACUCUAUUAGUUACAAAAAAACAUAAUGGGAGAAAUAUUUUUUUUAUUAGAUUAUCAACCAAAAAACAAAACAACAACAACAAAAAACAUGAUAUAAAGGUUAGAAACUGAUUUGCUUUUCAGUGAGUAAAAUAAGUAUUUCAUCCCCUACCAACCACCCACAAUCCCUGCCGGCACGAGACUAAAACCCACAGCCUUUGGGUUAGGAGACCUAAUUGCUAACCAUUAGUCAACAACUUCCCCCAUUUGAGAACCUCCUUCCCUCAGCCAGAACACUGAAGAUGGGUCAUGGAAAGUAUUCAAGGAUUACAGUGACCCAAAACAUACCGCCAAGGCAACAAAGGAGUGGCUCAAGAAGAAGUGCAUUAAGGUCGUGGAGUGGCCUAGCUAGUCUCCAGACCUCAGCCCUAUAGAAAAUCUGUGGAGGGAGCAGAAACUUUGAGUUGCCAAACGACAGCCAAAAAACCUUCAAUAUUUAGAGAGAAUAUGUAAAGGGGAGUGGAUUAAAAUCUCUUCUGAGAUGUGUGCAAACCUGAUGACCAACUACAAAGAACAUCAUACAGUACCUCUGGGCUUGCCAACAAGGGUUUCCUGUCAUGUUUUGCAUGGAGAUCAAAUACUUUUCACUCACUGAAAUGCAAAUCAGUUUUCUAACCUUUAUAUAAUGUGUUUUUUCAUGGAUUUUUUUGGUUUGUAUUCUGUCUCGUUAAAAUAAACCUACCAUAAAAAUUACAGACUAAAAGUUUUGUAAGUUUGUAAGUGGGCAAACUUACAAAAUCAGCAGGAGGUCAAAUAAAUAUGUAAGUCCACUGUAAGUCUGAACUUCUUUGUGGCAUUGAAUUAAAGACUCCUGCUCAACAUUUCUCAACUGAAAAACAUUAAACGUAUCUUAUUCACA